UUAGGUUUAAAUUCUAAAAAUGAUUAUUAAAUAUCUUACAUUA
rnacentral:tRNA from 1 species